rnacentral:lncRNA from 1 species
UAACUAUUAGUUACUUUGUGAACGCCAUCUUUAUUGUGUUUUGUAAUUCCAAUCAUGCCUACUAAGUGUUGUGCUCCAGGCUAUGACAACGAGCCACAACAGUAUGGUGUUACAAUCCAUCUGUAGCCAAACAAAGAGAAAACCCCCGGACUUGAUACCACCUGGAUGAGAGCCAUUCCAAGAGAAACAGAUCUGAAGAAGACAGAUUAGGCAACAUCCAAAAGUACAAAGCUGUGUUCCAUGCAUUUCAACGACUCUGAUUUUAUCUGUGAGUCUAAAAGAAGUCAGACCCUUGGCAAGGCUCUAAAGAAGAGGCAAGAGGAUGCGUUCUCUACGGAUUGCCGUUUAGCGAUUGAUAAUUUGUACAUCAAACCAGACGUAGUACCAUCCUAAUAGCCAAACUACCCCAACUACCUCUGAACUCCUAAACCGUCCCAAGGCCAACUCAAGCUGCGACCACGUCACGUAGGGCUCAACAGUUCUAUGACCAACAGCAUCUGGAAUUUGAAUUCUUGAAUGAGUAGUCAGUCCUCUCUGUGGAAGAACUUGGUGACAAAUUGGCCAAGGAGACACUCCCAUCAGACUUCAUCCGCCAAGUAGUAGCCAGCAUCCAGUUUAAGACAGAUGUGUCAUUCAAAACGUACCACUCUGGUGUGUUGAUUGACAAAAAGGCAGUGUCACGCAUCACCUCGGAAGGCAAGGUCAACACUGUGAUUCAAGCCAUCAAUUUGGCUUCCUUUCUGGGAGCAAAAGAAGAAUUGAAUCAAACAAGAGACCUAGGAAGACAUUCUCAACGAGUUAGUGAAGUUCCUCAACUCUUCAGAGUCACCUAGAGUUGGCUACGAAAAGAGAGACGAGCUUUGGGAACCAAUCUCUGAGAAGAACAAACUUGGCCUCACCUUCUUGAGAGAUUUUGACGGUUUCUCAUCGAGUGGAAAAACAGUAAAGCACCUGGCUUCAGAGCAAUUAAGAAGAGGGAUCUACUACAUUAAUAGUUAAUAGUAAUAUUUAGAUAUGACUACUUCAGAAAUUAAAGCUCUGCUGGAUGAAGACCUGGUAAAAGCUGAGCCCAUUUUGACUAACUGGCAACCAAAUGACCUCCUGGAACUAAGUUCCAAGGGAGAGAGUAAUGCUCUUUACUUUGUUGUCGGGUAUAUUGGCUUUUCUUUGAAGAAGAAGAUCAGCUGUACAUCCUGUCAAGAGUUAGUAGUAAUCAGAGACACAUCUCCGGACUCAAUAACCUUCGAUUUCCCAACCAAUCAGCAUGUAGACCUGAAAGAACUCAUCGAAAUAAUGAGCAGAGGGGGGUUGUCGACUCCAUCCGUCCUUCUCUACCUCUCCUGUCUUUAUGCUUACUCCAUGUUCUCUUACAUCACAGCUACUCCUGAAGAGAAAGACAGUUUACUUUGCACCCCAAAUCCUAGAGCUUCAUUUGUUGCCACAUUCAUUGACAGGAUGCAGGACAGUUUAAACCCUUGACAUUAUCGCCGUUGUGGGAGUUAAGUUGCGAGGAAGGACACUCCUGGUCAGCUUUUCCUCCAAUAAUUUCCUUCGCUUUAUAUAAUGUCAUGGGUAAAAAUUUAAGUGCUAAAAUGAAUGAUGACAUCCGGUUUUUAA